rnacentral:rRNA from 1 species
AGCGAACGCUGGCGGCAUGCUUAACACAUGCAAGUCGCACGGGCAGGGCAACCUGUCAGUGGCGGACGGGUGAGUAACGCGUAGGUAUCUAUCCUUGGGUGGGGACGAACGGUUGGAACGACUGCUAAUACCGCAUGAUAACUAGAGGUUUAAAGGUACGCAAGUCGCCUGAGGAGGAGCCUGCGUACGAUUAGCUAGUUGGUGGGGUAAAGGACCUACCAAGGCUGUGAUCGUUAGCUGGUCUGAGAGGAUGAUCAGCCACAUUGGGAC